rnacentral:rRNA from 1 species
UACGGAGGGGGCAAGCGUUGUUCGGAAUCAUUGGGCGUAAAGGGCGCGUAGGUGGUUCUGUAUGUCUGCCGUGAAAGCGUACGGCUCAACCGUAUUUUGUCGGUAGAAACUGCAGGACUUGAGGCUGGGAGGGGCUGGUGGAAUUCCCUGUGUAGCGGUGAAAUGCGUAGAGAUGGGGGAGAACACUCGUGGCGAAGGCGGCCAGCUAGACCAGUUCUGACACUGAGGCGCGACAGCGUGGGGAGCAAACAGG